rnacentral:rRNA from 1 species
ACGGCGAGUGAAGCGGCAACAGCUCAAAUUUGAAAUCUGGCCCCCAGGGCCCGAGUUGUAAUUUGCAGAGGAUGCUUUUGGCGCGGUGCCUUCCGAGUUCCCUGGAACGGGACGCCAUAGAGGGUGAGAGCCCCGUCUGGUCGGACGCCUAGCCUGUGUAAAGCUCCUUCGACGAGUCGAGUAGUUUGGGAAUGCUGCUCUAAAUGGGAGGUAUAUGUCUUCUAAAGCUAAAUACCGGCCAGAGACCGAUAGCGCACAAGUAGAGUGAUCGAAAGAUGAAAAGCACUUUAAAAGAGGGUUAAAUAGUACGUGAAAUUGUUGAAAGGGAAGCGCUUGUGACCAGACUUGGGCCCGGUGGAUCAUCCAGCGUUCUCGCUGGUGCACUCCGCCGGGUUCAGGCCAGCAUCAGUUCGCCGCGGGGGAAAAAGGCUUCGGGAACGUGGCUCCUACGGGAGUGUUAUAGCCCGUUGCAUAAUACCCUGGGGCGGACUGAGGUUCGCGCUCCGCAAGGAUGCUGGCGUAAUGGUCAUCAGCGACCCGUCUUGAAACACGGACCAAGGAGUCGUCUUCGUAUGCGAGUGUUCGGGUGUAAAACCCCUACGCGUAAUGAAAGUGAACGCAGGUGAGAGCUUCGGCGCAUCAUCGACCGAUCCUGAUGUUCUCGGAUGGAUUUGAGUAAGAGCAUACGGGGCCGGACCCGAAAGAAGGUGAACUAUGCCUGUAUAGGGUGAAGCCAGAGGAAACUCUGGUGGAGGCUCGCAGCGGUUCUGACGUGCAAAUCGAUCGUCAAAUAUGGGCAUGGGGGCGAAAGACUAAUCGAACCUUCUAGUAGCUGGUUUCCGCCGAAGUUUCCCUCAGGAUAGCAGUGUUGAACUCAGUUUUAUGAGGUAAAGCGAAUGAUUAGGGACCCGGGGGCGCUUUUUAGCCUUCAUCCAUUCUCAAACUUUAAAUAUGUAAGAAGCCCUUGUUGCUUAAUUGAACGUGGGCAUUCGAAUGUAUCAACACUAGUGGGCCAUUUUUGGUAAGCAGAACUGGCGAUGCGGGAUGAACCGAACGCGAGGUUAAGGUGCCAGAGUAGACGCUCAUCAGACACCACAAAAGGCGUUAGUACAUCUUGACAGCAGGACGGUGGCCAUGGAAGUCGGAAUCCGCUAAGGACUGUGUAACAACUCACCUGCCGAAUGUACUAGCCCUGAAAAUGGAUGGCGCUCAAGCGUCUCACCCAUACCUCGCCCUCAGGGUAGAAACGAUGCCCUGAGGAGUAGGCGGACGUGGAGGUCGUGACGAAGCCUAGGGCUGAGCCCGUCACCUU